GACGAACGCUGGCGGCGUGCUUAACACAUGCAAGUCGAACGGAAAGGCCCUGCUUUUGUGGGGUGCUCGAGUGGCGAACGGGUGAGUAACACGUGAGUAACCUGCCCUUGACUUUGGGAUAACUUCAGGAAACUGGGGCUAAUACCGGAUAGGAGCUCCUGCUGCAUGGUGGGGGUUGGAAAGUUUCGGCGGUUGGGGAUGGACUCGCGGCUUAUCAGCUUGUUGGUGGGGUAGUGGCUUACCAAGGCUUUGACGGGUAGCCGGCCUGGGAGGGUGAACGGCCACAAUGGGACUGAGGUACGGCCCAGACUCCUACGGGAGGCAGCAGUGGGGAAUAUUGCACAAUGGGCGGAAGCCUGAUGCAGCAACGCCGCGUGCGGGAUGACGGCCUUCGGGUUGUAAACCGCUUUCGCCUGUGACGAAGCGUGAGUGACGGUAAUGGGUAAAGAAGCACCGGCUAACUACGUG
rnacentral:rRNA from 1 species